GAGGAACGCUGGCGGCGUGCUUAACACAUGCAAGUCGAACGAUGAUCUCCCGCUUGCGGGGGUGAUUAGUGGCGAACGGGUGAGUAAUACGUGAGUAACCUGCCCUUGACUCUGGGAUAAGCCUGGGAAACCGGGUCUAAUACUGGAUACUACUUCCUGCCGCAUGGUGGGGGGUGGAAAGGGUUUUACUGGUUUUGGAUGGGCUCACGGCCUAUCAGCUUGUUGGUGGAGUAAUGGCUCACCAAGGCGACGACGGGUAGCCGGCCUGAGAGGGUGACCGGCCACACUGGGACUGAGACACGGCCCAGACUCCUACGGGAGGCAGCAGUGGGGAAUAUUGCACAAUGGGCGGAAGCCUGAUGCAGCGACGCCGCGUGAGGGAUGACGGCCUUCGGGUUGGAAACCUCUUUCAGCAGGGAAGAAGCCGCAAGUGACGGUACCUGCAGAAGAAGCGCCGGCUAACUACGUG
rnacentral:rRNA from 1 species